GUGCUUCAGCAGCACAGAAAUGAAACGUGGAACACUACAGAGAAGCCGAGCAUGGCCCGGAGCAAGGAGGACACGCAAGGUGAAGCAUUCCAUAUUUAA
ensembl:snRNA U6 U6 spliceosomal RNA